AAAAAAAAAACAAUGCUAAUGAAUUAAUUUUUUUAUCAUGCAUUCUUGAAGAGAGUUCACGUUUGUUUUCUUAAUUAUCCGCUCUGAAGUGGGCCUUUUAAUCAUAUUUAUCGUUGGUUCGGCCAUGCCCAUAAUGAAGUCAUCAGUAAAGAAGAAUGAGACCCAACAUAUCCAGGAUAGACUACGCCCGUAAAAUCCCUGGAACUGAUCGCCCAAAUUCGAUCAGUGGGCUCUCCAGAGCGUUCGGUUGAGGCCUGAGGCAUUCGAGCAUAAAGCACGGCAUAAGAACUGUGGUGCCAUCUGACGAUAGAAAAAGAAAGCAAAUGGGAUGAAUUAUCUGCAGUCUCAAGAUAAAAGGGAGUAUCAUCAAAUCGCUGGAUUCCUCAUUUGUAAACGUGUACUUAUGUUCUUCUGCCACCAUUACAUGUAAGCCGAGAUACGCUUGCUUCAAAAUGCAUCGACUACUUGUAUUCCCAAAAUAAAAUACACUAUAUGUAACCAGUUAUUUGUAUUCAUGCUAUGCUAAUAUAACGUGCCAGCUCUCUGGUUUGCAUAUUAAAACACAUCAUCUGUUAUUUCUUCAUGUAGAGUUACUGGUUUCUAUAGUGGCUUCCACGAAAUGCUAGUAGUUUCUUCAAACUUUCAAACUCACAUGAUGACCCAAUCUGCAAAAGAAGUAUGAUGAUUCACGAGAAAGGUCAUUCAUAGAUGCGUAGAGACGUGCAGUCCUUAACACCUGAUGCUUUUUCAUGACACCGGUACAGUGCAGCUUUCGCAAG